UGUUGACCCAACUACCGUUUCACAAGGAUUGAAAGAUGAGGUUCUCUACAAGUGUAGAAAGUGCAGGCGAUCAUUAUUUCGAAGUUCUAGUAUUCUGGAUCACCGUGAAGGAAGUGGACCUAUAGCCUUUGCCCACAAGAGAAUGACGCCAUCUUCCAUGCUUACCACAGGGAGGCAAGCUCAAUGUACAUCUUAUUUCAUUGAACCUGUACAGUGGAUGGAAUCUGCUUUGUUGGGAGUGAUGGAUGGACAGGUGAGAACACAUUUUAUUUUCUACAAUUUUAUUUUAUGAUCUAUAUUUUAUUCCUUCUUGCAUUUUAAGCUCUAUUUUAACUAGUGUUUUGCUCCAUUUCUUAAUUUCUUUAUUUCUGAAGAUUAUAUCUUUCUAGUGUAGAUAA
rnacentral:sRNA from 1 species